rnacentral:rRNA from 1 species
GACGUAGGGCGCGAGCGUUGUCCGGAUUUAUUGGGCGUAAAGAGCUCGUAGGCGGCUUGUUGCGUCAGCUGUGAAAACCCGCAGCUCAACUGUGGGCUUGCAGCUGAUACGGGCAGGCUUGAGUUCGGUAGGGGAGACUGGAAUUCCUGGUGUAGCGGUGAAAUGCGCAGAUAUCGGGAGGAACACCAAUGGCGAAGGCAGCUUGCUGGGACGGUACGUGACGCUGAGGCGCGAAAGCGUGGGGAGCAAACAGG